GUGACAUUAUCCAAGUGUGGGAACCGCCACAGCGAUCGUUGGGUGAUAUCCGCAGCCAGGACUGCUUCUGUUUUGGUGCAACGACUAAGUCGUAAUGGCCGGCCCUGCCGGUAAAGAGAUAGUCUCAAUCUCGUGGGGAGACCCAUGACAGCUUUUGCAUUAAAUCAGUUAUCGUUUAUUUGAUAAUACCUUACCACUUGGAUAACUGUGGUAAUUCUAGAGCUAAUACAUGCUAAAAACCCCGACUUCGGAAGGGGUGUAUUUAUUAGAUAAAAAACCAAUGCCCUUCGGGGCUCCUUGGUGAUUCAUAAUAACUUAACGAAUCGCAUGGCCUUGCGCCGGCGAUGGUUCAUUCAAAUUUCUGCCCUAUCAACUUUCGAUGGUAGGAUAGUGGCCUACCAUGGUCUUAACGGGUAACGGGGAAUUAGGGUUCGAUUCCGGAGAGGGAGCCUGAGAAACGGCUACCACAUCCAAGGAAGGCAGCAGGCGCGCAAAUUACCCAAUCCCAAUCCGGGGAGGUAGUGACAAUAAAUACUGAUACAGGGCUCUUUCGGGUCUUGUAAUUGGAAUGAGAAAAAUCUAAAUCCCUUAACGAGGAACAAUUGGAGGGCAAGUCUGGUGCCAGCAGCCGCGGUAAUUCCAGCUCCAAUAGCGUAUAUUAAAGUUGUUGCAGUUAAAAAGCUCGUAGUUGAACCUUGGGUCUGGCUGAUCUGUCCUCCUAAUCGAGCGCACGGAUUCGGUCGGACCUUUCCUUCUGGGGA
rnacentral:rRNA from 1 species